AGAAUCAACGCUGGCGGCGUGCCUAACACAUGCAAGUCGCACGAGAAAGGGUAGCAAUACCUGAGUACAGUGGCGCACGGGUGAGUAACACGUGAAUAAUCUACCUCCGAGUGGGGAAUAAACUGAGAGAAAUCUUAGCUAAUACCGCAUAAUACCCACGGGUCAAAGCAGCAAUGCGCUUGGAGAGGAGUUCGCGGCAGAUUAGUUAGUUGGCGGGGUAAUGGCCCACCAAGACGAUGAUCUGUAUCCGGCCUGAGAGGGCGCACGGGACACACUGGAACUGAAACACGGUCCAGACUCCUACGGGAGGCAGCAGUGGGGAAUUUUGCGCAAUGGGGGAAACCCUGACGCAGCAACGCCGCGUGGAGGAUGAAGCCCCUUGGGGUGUAAACUCCUUUCGGAUCGGGAAGAUAAUGACGGUACCGAUAUAAGAAGCCCGGCUAACUUCGCGCCAGCAGCCGC
rnacentral:rRNA from 1 species